AGAGUUUGAUCCUGGCUCAGGAUGAACGCUAGCUACAGGCUUAACACAUGCAAGUCGAGGGGAAACGACAUCGAAAGCUUGCUUUUGAUGGGUGUCGACCGGCGCACGGGUGAGUAACGCGUAUCCAACCUGCCCACCACUUGGGGAUAACCUUGCGAAAGUAAGACUAAUACCCAAUGAUAUCUCUAGAAGACAUCUGAAAGAGAUUAAAGAUUUAUCGGUGAUGGAUGGGGAUGCGGUCUGAUUAGCUUGUUGGCGGGGUAACGGCCCACCGAAGGCAACGAUCAGUAGGGGCUCUGGAGAGGAAGGUCCCCCACACUUGGAACUGAGACACGGUCCAAACUCAUACGGGAGGCAGCA
rnacentral:rRNA from 1 species